rnacentral:rRNA from 1 species
CUGGACCUCGGAUCAGGCCAGGCUACCCGCUGAAUUUAAGCAUAUCAAUAAGCGGAGGAAAAGAAACUAACAAGGAUUCCCUUAGUAACGGCGAGCGAAGCGGGAAGAGCUCAAAUUUGAAAUCUCCGGUGCCUGCACCGGCGAAUUGUAGUCUGUAGGGCCAGUUUCGCCCGACGCGGUGUCCCCAAAGUCGUCCUGGAAAGGCGGGCCGGAGAGGGUGAGAGCCCCGUGUGCGGGGGCGCCGCGGAAGGUAAGAUCUGUGCCCGAAGAGUCGGGUUGUUUGGGAUUGCAGCCCAAAACGGGUGGUAAACUCCAUCUAAAGCUAAAUACCGGCACGAGACCGAUAGCGAACAAGUACCG